rnacentral:lncRNA from 1 species
GACAUCCUUCCUUCAUACUCGAGUCUUUGCCCAGAGUGUGACCCUGUCAGUAAGCAUCUCAGAUGCCAUGUGCCACAGCACUGGGAAGAGAAUGGGGUUGAAUGUUAACAAGAAAGUGGAAGGAAGCUCUGUCUGAAGAGAAACAGGAGGCCGGCACCAGCUGCACACCUGUGAUCCCAGCCCUCGGGGAGCUGGGGAGACAAGCAGAUGUGACAUUCAAGGUCAGCUUGGACUACCUGAGAUAAUUUAGCUCAUAAACAAGACCACGCAAACAAAAGAAAGCCAUGUGGAGGCAGGAGGCUCCCCUAAGAAGCAGGAUUUAUGCACAUCUCCUGCUCUGCUUGGCCUGGGAGCUUUUCCCACUUUGCCUACAGGCAUCCAGAUAAUGAGGUUGUGUUCGUUCUGUUAAGAGACACAUCAGCUCUCUAUCAGACUGGCCUUCCCGGUGCUCUGCUGAGCACAGAAGCACUUAUUGUUAUCUCUCACCAAUCUUGUAGCCCUUGUAGACUUCCAUUCUUUUCCAACUUCAAUAAAAGUUUCUCCUUAAAUAACCUUGUCUGAUUAAGUUCUCCUCCCCAACACCCCGCAUAAGUCCCCAAUCUGUCUUACAGCCCUUCAGUCCUAAGACUCCAAUAAAGUUCUUUGUUUUU